UACGUAGGGCGCAAGCGUUGUCCGGAAUUAUUGGGCGUAAAGAGCUCGUAGGCGGCUUGUCACGUCGGGUGUGAAAGCCCGGGGCUUAACCCCGGGUCUGCAUUCGAUACGGGCAGGCUAGAGUGUGGUAGGGGAGAUCGGAAUUCCUGGUGUAGCGGUGAAAUGCGCAGAUAUCAGGAGGACACCGGCUGGCGGAAGGCGGAUCUCUGGGCCAUUACUGACGCUGAGGAGCGAAAGCGUGGGGAGCGAACAGG
rnacentral:rRNA from 1 species